CUAUUUAUAUCGUUCCCAUCUUGAGUUUCCGGUCAGGUCAUCUCCUAACCUGGCCGAGCCUCCCUCCCUCUGGGCUCAGGUCUCUGGACCACUCCCAGGCCAAGGCGGGGGGGGGUGCCCCGUGCAGGAGAAGCCCGCAGCUCACCGAGAGGUGCCCCAGGACACCGCCAGUGUUCCCGAAGCGCGAUGGAGAUGGUCCAGGGGCCCAGAGCGGGCACGAGGGCCCAGGCCGGCUCCAGAGUGGGCAGCCCGGGCAUUUCCAGUAAAUGGGGCUCCAUUCAGGAAACGAAACAGAAGAGACACAGAAACCGACAGCUGACGUCAUAAUGCAGCUCCAAAAUAUGGGCAUCGCGUCCUCAUUUACUUGGCCAGGACUUCCUCGUUUUCACUUUCUGGUCUCUUCCGAACUGCCACCGGAGCCCCUGGAGGUCAGGGUUCAUGCCACCUGCCCCAAGCAUGGCAUUAACUUCAAGGCACGUGCAUUCUCCUAAAAAAAAAAAAAUUAAAUAAAAAAUAUGUAAGGCAAGGCGCCUGGGUGGCA